rnacentral:rRNA from 1 species
AUUGAACGCUGGCGGCAGGCCUAACACAUGCAAGUCGAGCGAGCGGCGGACGGGUGAGUAAUGUCUGGGAAAAUGCCUGAUGGAGGGGGAUAACUACUGGAAACGGUAGCUAAUACCGCAUACCAUCAGAUGUGCCCAGAUGGGAUGAGCUAGUAGGUGGGGUAACGGCGCACCUAGGCGACGAUCCCUAGCUGGGCUGGGAGGAUGACCAGCCAAACGUGAACGUAGACACGGUCCAGAUUCUUACGGGUGUGAGCAGUUGGGAAUAUUGCACAAUGGGCGCAAGCCUGAUGCAGCCAGGCCGCGUGUGUGAAGAAGGCCGUCGGGUUGUAAAGCACUUUCAGCGGGGAGGCGUUACCCGCAGAAGAAGCACCGGCUAACUCCGUGCCAGCCGCCGCGGUAAUAC